GUGGCCGUGUAAAAGCAUUUCGAGAGAGAGGGCGGGCCCUACCCACUCUCGGCAGUACCAGGGCAUUUGGGGCUGAAAUAGGAACAAUAACGGGGCGGACUUGCAUGCAUAUAGCAAACAAUUCUCUUUGAACCUAGCACACAACAAUACCGUCAUGCAUUGUCCCAUCGCCCUUGGCAGAUCAGGCAACCCGAAAGUCACGAGAACACGAUCAAUGCAUACGACAGGCUAUUGUUUAACACAAAUCCUCAUUUC
rnacentral:snRNA from 1 species